AGUGAGAGUAGUGGGAAGCCUUUUCAAGCCUCGCAGUCAAUCCAAAUGCACACCAAAAAACAACCACACUUCGAAUAAAAGUGGACCUACCUUUUUCUUCUGUUAUUGUUUCUUCUGUUACUUGGAAUAAUAAAUAAAUGGAUUUGAAAUUGUGAAUGAGCAGCCGUAUCUUUAGCUACCACGUAAUUCGAAUUUGAACCUCUUGAACAUAUUGUAAAAAAUGUAAUAUGGAAAUCGAACUGUUCAGGUAGGACUACGCCAAGCCAC
rnacentral:lncRNA from 1 species